UACGAAGGGGGCUAGCGUUGUUCGGAUUAACUGGGCGUAAAGCGCGCGUAGGCGGGUUUUUAAGUCAGGGGUGAAAUCCCAAGGCUCAACCUUGGAACUGCCUUUGAUACUGGAAAUCUUGAGUCCGGGAGAGGUGAGUGGAACUGCGAGUGUAGAGGUUAAAUUCGUAGAUAUUCGCAAGAACACCAGUGGCGAAGGCGGCUCACUGGCCCGGUACUGACGCUGAGGUGCGAAAGCGUGGGGAGCAAACAGG
rnacentral:rRNA from 1 species